rnacentral:rRNA from 1 species
UACGUAGGGGGCGAGCGUUGUCCGGAAUUACUGGGCGUAAAGAGCGCGUAGGCGGCAUGAUAAGUUCCGUGUGAAAGCCCCCGGCUCAACUGGGGAGGGUCGCGGAAAACUGUCAAGCUGGAGUGUUGGAGAGGGAAGUGGAAGUCCCGGAGUAGGGGUGAAGACGUACGUAUACCGGGCCGAACACCAGUGGCGAAGGCGACUUCCUGGCCAACGACUGACGCUGAGGCGCGAAAGCGUGGGGAGCGAACGGG